GGUUUACGCAUUAGUUUUACGUGACUGCUUCGUUACAUGCAUAAUUUCAGUUACGUGUCGUUAGUGCUAUGUUUUUUAUAUUUUCGUUUCUUCUUAUUCCAAUGUUUGGAGAAGCAGACCAAGACUUACACCUGCUACCAGCUGUCAUCGCUGGUGGAGACCUUGCGAAGAGCUGAUGACCCGUCCAAGGAGUCAUACCAUCUGCAUAAUGAUCAAAUGAAAACAAACCAACCUCGACAACGUAAAGGUUUCAGAGGAAAGGAUUAAGUGACGGUGAAAAGUGGGAAAUGGAGUAGCGAAACGAACUUCGUUCCAACAUGAGAAUCUGAA